CUACGGGGUGCACCAGUGGGGAAUAUUGCACAAUGGAGGAAACUCUGAUGCAGCAACGCCGCGUGGAGGAUGACACUUUUCGGAGCGUAAACUCCUUUUAUAUAGGAAGAAGAUGACGGUACUAUAUGAAUAAGCGCCGGCUAACUCCGUGCCAGCAGCCGCGGUAAUACGGAGGGCGCAAGCGUUACUCGGAAUCACUGGGCGUAAAGGGCGUGUAGGCGGAUUAAAAAGUCAGAAGUGAAAUCCUGUAGCUUAACUAUAGAACUGCUUCUGAAACUCUUAAUCUAGAAUAUGGGAGAGGUAGAUGGAAUUUCUGGUGUAGGGGUAAUAUCCGUAGAGAUCAGAAGGAAUACCGAUUGCGAAGGCGAUCUACUAGAACAUUAUUGACGCUGAGACGCGAAAGCGUGGGGAGCAAACAGGAUUAGAUACCCGUGUAGUC
rnacentral:rRNA from 1 species